GCAUAAUAGGCUUGUUGCACAUCGCGCAGUGCCCCUUACUAUGGAAGGAUAGGAAAUCAUUACCCUGCUGCCUAACAGGUAGGACUGGAUGUUGUGAUUCAUCUACUACAGUUAAGGAAAAAAAGCAGUCAGACGUAUUAACCUGCCCCAUUUUUUACUUCUCCGGAAAAAAAGCUGGGGAAGGGGUUAUGCAUCUGUCAUUGCAGAGGGAUCCAUUGAAACAUCACGGAUUCUUCUUCAGCUCCUCCAGCUCUGAGCCACCAAAGAUACCAGCAGAGUGUGAGGAGACUGUAAGUCACCAGGAAGAGAGCAAGGCUCUAGCUAAAGGAUAAAGGAGAUCAUGGUUCUUCCAUUAGAGUCGAGUCUGCCUACCCAGGGACAAGUGUGCCUAAGCACAGGGGAGAAGUUACUUCAUUAAUGACCCUGUGUUUAUGCCUGGACUUUGGGAUGUAACAGAUACACUCAUUCGUUUGAAGAAGAGAUUUUAAUUUUUCCUUAGGAUUUGAAUCACUCCCCAUUUGCAUAGGACAUCAUAAAAUUUGUACCUGUAUUAAAGGCAAAUAUUAUGUCCUACAAGACACUAGAACUACUAGUCACAUAGGUCUCUUUUCAAGCUAUUGUCUAGAUUUUUCUGACCAAUAUAACAACGUAACUAAUAGUGCCAGACAUAGGUUGGAUCUCUGUUCUUGGAAUAUGACACACAAUGCCUUCAUUGUUCUAAUACCCAUUGGUCAUGGGAUACACAUGUAUCAGAUGGCAGUAACAUUUAUCUGUAACACCUCAAAUCAGAGCCACCCUGGAUAUCCUGCUAUCAAAAAACAAAAACGGAGGAGAUGGAUGAACGCAUCCAAGAAUAGAGUCGAGCAACAGGGAUUCUGUGUGCUUGUGAGAAAACUCCAAGAAAACAAGGCAAGAGUUCUUCAAAACACAGACUUGUUCUUUGUUCAUGUUUUCAGGCAGAUGGGAGUGAGUUGACCUCAGCUGUUGUUAUUCAUGUGCCACAUGUGGCUUGUCCCUGUGAUUGAACUCCUUACUUAACCCUCAGAGUAUAAAUUAUCUGAUGUGCUAAAUCAAGUUGACCAUUGC
rnacentral:lncRNA from 1 species